CCCUUUUCCUACCCCCUUCCUUUGUACUACUUUAUAUGUGGCCAUCUGGUGAAGGGCAAUCUCUUUCCUCUUGCCCAAAAUUAUCUACAGCUGAACCUUGGUUGCUUUGCUGCAACUUGUUUUUGCUCUGGCCUCUUUGAAAUAGGAGCCUUCCCCAGCAUGCCUUUUUUUUUCAGGAGACGUUUUACAUUCUCGAUAAGCCUGGAUAAGGCUCUUUUGGAAGGUACAGGCUGGUGCUGUUUCUCUUGCAUCUAGAGUCAGCAGCACCUCCUGGCGUACAGAUCUGUGUGUGCAUUGACUGCGCCUCCACUGCAACCUGAAAUCAAGCUAGAGAGACUGACAUGCACUAUCUCCAUUCCUGGAAGGGAGCUGCAACCUUCUGUGUGAUGCCUGCCUUGGACGAGUUGCAGACACAGACCUUGUGUCAUUUUUUGUUCAGACACAGCCAGUGUUAAACCAGUUGAGAUCCAGACUUGAGCAAGCAGCCAGGCAAAAGCCACAAACCACUCUUUGUUGCUAUUGGUUACUAUCUCACGUUAGCCAAAAUUUGCACCAAUUAAAACUUUUGACUUUGCAGAAA